rnacentral:rRNA from 1 species
UACGGGGGGAGCAAGCGUUGUUCGGAUUUACUGGGCGUAAAGGGCGCGUAGGCGGCGCAACAAGUCACUUGUGAAAUCUCCGGGCUUAACCCGGAGCGGUCAAGUGAUACUGUCGUGCUAGAGUGCGGAAGGGGCUACUGGAAUUCUCGGUGUAGCGGUGAAAUGCGUAGAUAUCGGAAGAGGGAACACCUGCGGCGAAGGCGGCCACCUGGACGGGUAACUGACGCUGGAGAACGCGAAAGCGUGGGGAGCGAACAGG